CCUCAACUGGAUCACAGGUUCCUCUCAUUGACUGUACACUUCUGCGCACAAGAGACCCUCCUCCACAAUGAUUGCUCUAUACCAAAUUUUUGGCCGCAGGUUCCCACCAGGAAUCGAACUCUCCACCCUGUCGCUGGAAGCAAGCCAAUGUUGAUUGAUCCACCAGUUGAGCUGUGCUCCGGGGGGCAAUAAGAAUCCUAAUAUUGCUCAUAGAAAAUGCUUAUAUAGUUCAUCCUGCAAUGUUCUUUUAAUGUCUCCAAGCCCAAAUCAUUUGUAUGGCACUAGCCAAGUUCAGUCGAUUUCAUAAUUUUACACUGUUGAAUUUAUUUAAAUUCAUAAAUUCACUCUAAUGGAGCAUACUUGAAUGUGUAUCUUGUGAGCACUUUUACAAUGACAACAGGAAAAUAAAAAUAUAAAGCACAAAUAUAACUGAAGUGAGAUUCUGAAACUUCGAAAGUAUAGGCCUCUUCCAUCAUAAAGUUUCCUAUAGAAAUCUAAAACUCUUUGGAUAUGCUUAUUGGUUCCACAAACAAGCUUAGUACUUACUUCCUGUUGUCAAAGCUAUUUAUAGGAAAAGAAAUGCUUAAUGAUGCCUAUGUUGUUAGUCAUUUUCUUUAGUACGUUAUGAUAUUAAAAUUUAGUGUUAAUAAUAAAUAUGCAAUUCGUUGGUUAUAAAGUAGUACAUAACUCAAAGUAAAGACUAUUCUACGUGCAUAAUGAAAAUUUGACAAAAGGGAAGUAUUUAAGAAGUAGACAAUGACGCUAAUCAAAGAAUCUGUACCUGACUGGUUAUAUGAAAUCCUUAUUAUUUCCUUUUGCUUAAAUCCUAAUAAAUGAAAUCACUAAUGACUAAUUAAAUGUUGGUGUUUACUAUUUUAAGAUUUAAGUAUUUUCAUAAUGACCAUGAAAGAAUUAUUAUAUGUACUAAAUAGGAUUAUAAUAACACAACAAUAGUAUUAUUAUAAAUUUCAAAAGCAUUUAAUUUUCAUCAUAUUUUUAAUUUAUUUGGGAUUUAAUUAUUUUCAGUUUUGGAGUUGCAAAUUUAUAAAUACGAGUUUGAUUUCAAAAUUUAAUUUUCUGAGUGAAGGUUUUUAACUUCAACGGAUAUUUUAGAUUAGCUUGUCAAUUAUUAGUAAUGUAAUUUUAUGUUUGGUAUGGUGUCAUGGAAAAUAAAUAAUUGUUUGGUAAAUGGAAAGUGCCAAUAUAGAGGUUGAAGGGAAAAUAAGGAGAUGUGUCUAGAAAAUUUUAUUUGACUUGAUUUAUAAAUCUAGGGUGAAUUGAUUUUUAAUUGAUUAAUAAGUGAUUUAUCAAUUUCAAUUUUACCCAUUGUUCAGAUUUGAACACUUUAAUUAGGGAAAUCAAUCAUUACUAAAUUGAUGUUUUGGACAUGUCGUGACUUUGUACAUUCUUUGGGCCAUAUAAAUUCCAUUUCAUGAUUAUGAAGGAAUGUUUGCUUUGAUCAAUAUUGUCAAAUCAUAUUUGGUAUUUUAUGGUUAUGUUAAUUACGUAAGUAUCAUCGUGUUCAAUUGUGUUGUCCAAGUGAAAGUAUUUAAAAUCUUUGGAAUGUGAGAGUAUUAAAAAUUGCGGGCAUAUGUAUUUUCCAUGAUUGUUCAUAAUUAUCAUGAAAUUGACAUUUUGAGAUAUUUGUAAAUUUGCAGGUGAAUACAAGAGCUGAGCGGAUACGUACGUUCAAACGUGUUACUAGAAAUUAAUUCUAAAUUUCUUAUGUGUUGAUCUCGCGAAUUUGACCCUCCACGUGGCCAACCGAUAACUGUUUCAGGUAAUCCUCCCUGCGUACAGUCAACACACGGUCAAAUGCACGCGGCCUGAAUCAGCGGGGGUGGCGGUGGCAGCAUACACUUCGAUAGUCAAGUUAACUUCUAGUGAUCGGAACAGUGCCAAUGUUGUGCAAAAAAGGUGGGGAGGGGAAUAUAUAUUUACUUGUUAUGGAGAGCUAAGUUGUAAGAAUUUCAUUCUCCUUCGCCUCUUGUCAAACCUUGGGUAUUUAUAGUUGAGGAGAACCGUUAGAUGUGGGACACGUGUAUGCAUCUGACGGUGUGAGGCGUCAAUCAGCCGCGUCUAUAGAGUGGGAGGGUAAUAACUUCUCUCGAGUUAAGUUGGCAUAAAGUUGAUACGUCAUAUCAACUAGGCCCAUGGAGACAUCAAAUCAAUUAAACCUUGGGGGCAGAAAGGAUCUUGACGCAGAUCUCUUUUUGAAAUUGGCGGCAGAUCCUCUGACAGAGAUCCUCGAAGUGCAUUGCACUUCGGCGUCAAAGGUAAGAACACUUCGGUUGAUUCGAUAGAAUUGUUUAUGCUCGCAACGCGUUAGCAAUUCGCCAACAUUAGUGGUGGAGUCACUUUGGAACCACUUCGGAUGGGUGUUGGACACCUUGUAUGACGCAGUGGCAAACUCUCCGAAGUGAUUUAGAUAGGGGCGUAACAGUGGUCUACCCAAGUUCAGGCAUGAAUAUUUAUAUCAUGGAUAGACUUGUUUUCCCGAUCAGGUAUGUCUGUCUCGGGAUAGGAACCGCGGUUUGUGAUAGCGUGUGGGAUGGUUUUCUGUGUUCACCGAAGAGAUGAAGGUCGGGACAUAUCUUCGACAGAUGCGCUAAAGUUUCAUUAUUGCCUAAGGAAAGAGCUUAUCCGUAAUCGAUGUGCUGACAUACAGGACGGUGUGUUGGGAGACAACUAAAGCUUUGUAAAGCUUAAGAGGGGAUGCAGCCACCUAGGCGAUGACCCACGGGAGACUUCAUGUCAGGUGCGUCUAAGUUUUGUAAAGUUGAGUGAGGGGUUCAUCUGCCACUGGUGCGCUAACCCACAGGGAACGACGCAUUAGGAGAUGGCUAAAGCUUUGUAAAACUUAAGAGGGGAUGCAGCUACCGAGGCAAUGACCCACAAGGGACUUCGCGUUAGGUGCGUCUAAGCUUUGUAAAGCUGUGUGGAGCUCAUCUGUUACCGGUGCGCUGACCCACAGGGGACGACACGUUGGGAGAUGGCUAGAGCUUUGUAAAGCUUAAGAGGGGAUGCAGCUACCGAGGAGAUGACCCACAUGGGACUUCCCGUCAGGUGUGUCUAAAUUUUGUAAAGUUGAGUGAGGGGCUCAUCUGCCCGAUCUGAGGCGAACAUUUCUGACGUUAAAUGAUUUGACAGCUGUCGUUUAUUUCCAAGGCGACGGACUAUUGGGUCGGCUAAAAGAGGUCCAUCCCACUUUGGACAUAUCCUCUUUAGAGGCAGAGUUCAGUGGACCUACUGGAGGCCGGUCUGGUAGGUUUGCCGAGGAGGCUCUAGAGGUCUCGGAGAGGGGCGAAGCGGAGGCUGGCGCGGAAGAUGCCCCAGUAGAAUAGGGUUAUUCUUGUAAUGGCUUUGGUUUCUUUUGUAAUUCAAUUUUAAAUGAAUGAAAUGAAAAAAUUUUGUCUAAGUAUUGUUGCUUCUGUCUUUUCAUUGUGUUGAGCUGUUUAUACUUGAGUAUAUGAAUCACAAGCACUUAAGCAAAUAAUAAGCACCACUUACUGAUAACCAAUCGGUAAAAGGAGAUCGAAGCAAUAACAUAUUAAGUAACCGAGGCAACAACUCAUUAACUGAUUAGACAAAGAACUGAAGUAUCAUUACUUAGAGGUUACAUCAUCCAUCACUAAGGCAAUUUCAGCACUUAGUAAGAUAGGGAAGUUACAAAUGAGAUCGGAUCGUGUCAAACACAUAUUAGACAGCAUCGAGAUCGGAUCGGAACCUACGUUCAUCAUUGAUAGUACUUUCUCAAGUGUUCGAUGUUCCAUUGACGAGGCAGUACUCUUCCCGUCAUAUCUUCAAUUUCAAAAGUACCAUGUCGGGACUCCUUGCAGAUGCGAUAAGGACCCUCCCAAUUUGGUUCAAAGACUCAGACCCCAAUGACGAUUGGAAGACCCUUCUAAGGACGAGGUCCCCUGACCGAAGAGUUCGAUUUCUGACUUUGGAGUUGUAAUAGCGGGUCAUCUUCCUCUGAUAUUUGGCCAGUUUCACUUGGGAGGUGUCCCUCCUUUCUUCAAGGAGGUGGAGUUCGCUCAUUCGAGUUUCGUCGUUACCGAUCUCAUUGAAGUGUAUCCGACGAUGCGAUGAAACUCCUACCUCGAUAGGGCUAAUCUGUUGACCUCGCGAAUUGGACCCUCCACGUGGCCAACCGAUAGCUGUUCUACGUAAUCCUCCCUGUGCACAGUCAACGCACGGUCAGAUGCAUGCGGCCUGAACCAGCGGGGGUGGUGGCGGCCGCAUACACUCCGACGAUAAAGUUAGCUUUUGGUGAUCGGAACAGUGCCAAGGUUGUGCAAAAAGGGUGAGGAGGAGAAUAUAUAUUUACUUGUUAUGGAAAGCUAAAUUGUAAGAGUUUCAUUCCCCUUCGCUUCUUGUCAAACCUUGAGUAUUUAUAAUUGAGGAGAAUUAUUAGAUGUGGGACACAUGUAUGCAUCUGACGAUGUGAGGCAUUUGCUCAUAGGCGUCAAUCAGCCGCGUCUAUAGAGUGGACGGAUAAUAACUUCUUUUGAGUUGAUACGUCAUAUCAACUAGGCCCAUGGAGACAUCAAAUCAAUUAAACCUUGGGGCAGAUAGGGAUGUCAAUUGGGCCGAGCCGGCUCUGCUCGGCUCGUGGGCUAGUCCGAGCUCGAGCCGAGCGGAGGGUCCCGUCCAACGAGCCGAGCCGGCUCGUCCAAAAAUGUGGAAAAAAUAAAAUUUUAUCAAUAAAGUUUGAAAAAUUUGCAAAAAAAAAAAAAUUUAUGAGCCCACGAGCUGGUGGCUCGUGGGCUCGGCUCGGCCCACGAGCUCGUGGCUCGUGAGUACACGAGCUCGUGGGCCGAGUCGAGCUCGCCCACGAGCAACGAGCCGAGCCCGAGCUCGGCUCGUGAAAAAUGAGCCACGAGCCCGAGCCUCGGCUCGGCCCACUGCCAUCCCUAGGGGCAGAAAGGAUCUUUACGCAGAUCUAUUUUUGAAAUUGGCGACUGAUCCUCUGACAGAGGCAAGAAUGCUUCGACGUACAUUAUUCUCGGAGUACAUUGUGCUUCGACGUCAGAGGCAAGAAUGCUUCGGUUGGUUCAGUAGAGUUGUUUGUGCCUCACAACGCGUUAACAGCUCGCCAACAUUAGUGGUGGAGUCAUUUUGGAACUACUUCGGAUGGGUGUUGGACACCUCUUAUGACGCAGUGGUAGACUCUCCGAAGUGGUUUAAAUAGGGGCGUAACAAUAUGUCUAUCUUAUUAUAAUUAAAUACGUGACAUUAAUGUUUUAAAAAGGAUCUUAGGUGACUUUGCAAAUGUGCAAGCGGGGAAUAAGAGCUAUGCAAAUUGAUGUUACCAAAUUAUUGUCUAAGAGGGACAUGAAAUAAAUUAUAAUCUAUAAUGGUCAUAAUAAAUUAUCGACGGAGAUGAGCUUAAGCCAAUAAGGAAGUCACCUCCAAGAGUAACCCAACCUUUGUGAUUGGAGAUCCCAUGAAAAAGAUUCAAUGUGGCAGAAACAAUUCGUACUGCAUGACUCAUAAUAGCACUAUAUUAUUUGUGUUCAUUCCUAUGGUGAUAGUGCUAAUAAUUAUGUGAUAUUAUGAAGGGUUUAAUCUUGAAUGAGUACAGAUGCAAGAAUUCCCAUGAGGUGUGGGUCACACUUAUCUUUGAAAGACUCACCUAUAUAAUAGUUGCUAUGAGGCCACGGCUAUGGGAUUCAGUUAUUCUUUAGAUACUCUUAUUAGAAUCAAGAUUUGAGCGCAUGGCCAUUAAAAGUAUUAUCCGCUUUGAACUGAACCUAAAUCGAUAAUAUGUGUAGAACAAUUGAAGUUUAGUCAAAAGGCCCUAAUUCAAGGCUUGGUCCAUUAUAACUCUCUCAAAUAGAAAUUGUUAUCACUAAGGUUUAAGUCCAAAGGAUACCUACAGCUAUUAUACAGUAUAACGUUGCCACUAUAUAUAUAUAUAUAUAUAUAUAUAUAUAUAUAUAUAUAUUGAAAGUUUAAAAUAUGUGGGGGAUUGUUAUAACAUAAAAUUAAAGUUUUAACCUUUCAAUAUUUAACCCAUUCAAUUUUUUUUAAUAAUCAAUUUUAACACAAUUAAAACAUUAUAAUUCAUAUUAUAACUUCUAUUUUAGUGGUUUAAUUGUGGGGGUUGAUUUUCACCUACAAAAGGUGAUUAUGUCUCAUUGAAAAAGAGAACUAGAAUACAAUAACUACAAUAACUUUGAAGGAAAACAUUAUAUAUAAUUCAUACUAUAUUCUUAUACUUUGGGCAACUCGAUAAAAAUUCGUUCACUUAUCUCCCUAUAGUCGUACCCAUAAAAAGAGAAUCGGCUGUGAGCCACAUGAGUUUUAUCUUGGAGCAAUGUAGCGCCGAAAGAACUUCGUGGGCGACAACACAACUUUAGGAUACCGUCUUUGACUUGAUUCCCAAGACUUGCUUUCUAAAUCUCUUCUCUCUUUUAUAUUUAUAUUAUUAUAGAUUAUAUUUUGUUAUGUUAUAUAUAUUGAUUAUUUUAAUUGAUAAAAAAAAUCUACACCCAAAUCACCUAUUUUUUCCAACACAAUUUUCUUUGUUGUCAAAGAUAAUGAAAUUAUGUUUAUUGUUCGCUGGUUUUUAUCAAAACUAAUAGCUCUGAAGUGCAAUGAAUUUCUUCUAACGGUUCCCAAAAAUUUAAUUUUAUCUAGAAGUUAUUAUUGUUAUUUAUCCUAUCCUUAAAAAGAUUUUUGAAAAUUACUCUAAAGAUCGAGUGAUCAUGAACCUAACGUUAUUUAACUCAUCAAACUAGAUGUUAGUUGACAGAAUCAUUAUUUUUCAACCCAAAGUUAAGCUAGCUCUCGUAUAACAAGAAUAAAAGAGUUAUAUUUCUCUUACGUUGUUUUAAUUAUUAUUAUUUUUUGCAACUUAUAAAUUUAUGUUCUCUCAAAUUAAAAUGUCUGACCACGGUCACUGCUUUAAAUUCUCAAUCUAAGUAUGAAUUGAUGUGACGUGAACAUGUAAAAGCUCCCUUUAUAUGUCCAAGAUUUCUUGUGUAAAUAGUUUUGGGAGUUUUUAAGCCUAAUCACGACUUCAGAGCGGCAAAAUUCCUUUAGAAGUCAGAAAAGUUGAACAUAUUCUGUCAAUUGUGGUAUGCACUUUGUUCUAAUAAGGUGAGAUAUUCUAUUAAUUGUGGUAUGCACCUUAUCUUGAUUCCUAUCUUGAAUGGUGACACUAGCACACUUAUGAAUAUGUAUUGGACGUGAUCAUUAUGCAUAGAUUAAUUUCUUUAGCACGAAUAUACUCAGAAACUAAGCUACGCACGAUUGUCUUGUCACUCUUGUGGAUCGCUGGAAUCUUUUAUGGAGUAGUGAUUGUUAUUCGUGAACCCAAAGAUGUUUGAUGUGUCAAUAAGUGAGACUUAUUUGUAAUAUUAAAUGCCACAAAACAUUGUGAGUGGAAAAAAAAAUAGAGGUAAUAACCAUGUAUUCUAAUUUGAAAUCUGUCACCCCAUUCGAUAGAUUAAUGAGUCAACUUAAGUUUUUAUUUUAAGAGCAAUUUAUCAUUCGGACUCAAUAUAUGACGACAACUACAUCGUUUUAUGUGGUUUGAUCACAAAGAAACUAUUAAAAGAUUGAGCUUAAUUGAGAAAUAAUUAUAAUACGUCAUCGUAGGCGAGAUAUAAUUAUUUGAUAUUCGAGGAGAUAAGACAUAAAGUUGACAAGUUAAAGAGGAUGUAAUUCUAUGUAUUUGAAACAUUAUUAUUUUUCGUUAUUUUAAAUAAUUUAAGAGUUCAAUUUUUCACAUUGAGUGGAAUAAGCAAAAACUAAUAAUUAUAGUGUAGGUCUUGGGUCGACUUGAUUGUAGUUAUGUUACUAUAACUUAAAUUAGGGUAAUUAGCAAAAAAGUCUCUAUCGUUUGCAUGCGUUGCUAAAAUAGUCUUUGUCAUUUCGAAAUUGACAUUUGCACCCUGAUUUCAAACAUUUCUUGUGGAAUUGACCAUUUUCGUCACGUUCUGUUAAUUCGACCAGGAAAAAAUGCGUGGAAAUCACUCACGUUAUUUGAAAAUGACAAAUUAGUCAAAUAAAUAUAUAUUUUUUGGAGAAAAGAUUCUUGUAUAUACUAGACUAGAUUGUAGAAAGUUUUACCGUGGCCAUUCAGCAACAAUAUCCCAAAUUGAAUAUGUUAGACCAAACCUCACUUUUCCAAAAUGCUCUAAAAGAAAGAAACCGCCGCUUGAACGUAUUCCACUACCACCUUUCUACUACCAUUCCAACACCGGCAACUUCAAUGUCAACGCCGAUAAGUUUUAUUUUCAAUUUUUGAAAUGGGUGUGGCUUUUUAUAGAUUGAUUUUACUCUGAACAGUCGACCCUUGUUGAAUUGAUCAACCAAUUUCUUGAGGCACGUAUUGAAAAGGACAAUGGCAUUAUGGCAUUAUUAAUGUCUUCGUUGCAUCUGCUACCAUUGCCAUUAUGUCGAGUUUGAGCGAUAAAUCCCAUUUUUCCAAACAUAAACAAAAUUCUUAGCAAAACUUUGUUGGAGACACCAAAAGACAAUGAUACCAAAAUCCACAAUUUAGGUUGUCAAAUGGGUUGUGCCUAAUUUUAUUUUAUUUUUUAAUAUUUUAAUCAGUGUGAUUUUGUUAUAAAGAAUGCUAGGUUUCAUCAUUGAACAUAUUGAAUUUAAUAAAGUUAUCUAUCUUUGAGAGUUCUUUAUAUUUUUAACGGAUUUUGAUAUUUGAUUUGCAUUUGUUAUUGAAAUUGAAUAAAUAUUUAUUUACCAUUAGAAUGGUAAGUUCUAUAUGUUUAUUUACCAUUUUAGUUAAGUCUAGCAUACUAAUAUCGUCUUUAUUGUUUGUGUUGGAAUUUUCCAGGGUGAUGUUUCAGAUCAACCUCCAAAUGAGCAAGCUGACAUUGAAGGUUGUGGGAGGCUUGAACUUUUAAAUUACAUCAAACUAAAAAGGGUUACAUUCACCAAAAAUUUUUAGAGAGGAAAAAAAAUAUGUAACUUGACUAAUCUAAUCUUUUUAAAUAAUGUGAAUGAAUUCCAUGCAUUUAUUUCACGGUGGAAUUAACGGAGCGUGAUGGAACACAAUAAAAGUUUGAGAUAAUUGUGUAAAUGCCAAAUUUGAAAUGAAAUGGAUUAUUUUAGCACUGCAUGCAAACGAUAGGGACGUUUCUUUCUAAUUUCCGAUAAGAUCUUUUGUGUACUUAAUCGAAAAUAUGAUGAAAGCUCAGAGACUGCAGGGGCAAUAAAAGCCUAAAGGAAUCCUAAAUCUCACUGGUCAAAGAGAAAAAGUUCCUAUGCCUAGGAUUGCUUGGCCUCCCACUCCAUAAAGAAUUUAUUCAGUCUUCUCUAUUGAGAUCCUUGUCAGUCCUUUGGAAUUCAAAUUGAUUUUUCUUUGAUGCCCACCCAUUAUUCGCACAAUCUAUACUUUGUAAAAUGUCGUAGAAGACUUAGGGGUUUGAAACUCGAUAAUUCAAGAAGAUUUUGUAGACAUUGUUUGGUCCGUAAUUUUAAAUUUAGAAUUAGAUCAUGCUUCUAGAGUAAAUUUCGCGUAUACCCAAUGUUAUUAAAUCGAAAGAUGUAAAUGAUUUUUUUCUGUAAUUAGUGUUUUCCCCUAAUUUAUUUCCAAUAAUUGCACGGGAGGCAAGGUGGAGAUUAAAAGAAAAAAUUUCUAGUACAUCCAAAGUAUGUCAAUGUCACUGAGCAAAUAACAUAUAUAUUAUUUAUCAUGUUUGAAUUUCAAUAAAAUAGUAAGUUUUAAUUAUUUAGUAUGCGUUUAAUUGAAACAGUGAAAUGUGGUAUUGAGUACUUAGAGGGUUAAAACAAAUUAUAUUUCCCACUUUGAUAGCCAAAAUUUUCCAGACAAUUAGUUUUCUACAUUUCCCUCACACGUUCACAAUUUUCAGGUUUUUGGAGAAUUCAUUUUCCAUGAGGUAGGUGGUUUUAUGUUUUCCAGCUUCUUUUUUUACUUUUUUUUUUAAUUUUAUUUAGGGGGCAAUGAGAACAAAUUUUAGGAAUAAUUGUAAACUAGGAUAAUCUCUUAAAUUGAUAAUUCUCAUAUAAAACAAAAUCAAACGAACAUCAAAAUAUAGAUGAUUUUUGAAUCUUUAUAUAUAUAUAAUUUUUUUUUUUUUGUAAUGGAAACAAAUUCUAAAAACAAUUGUAGAAGUGGAUAUCCCUUAAAUUGACAGUGUUGACCUCUAAAAAUGGCUCUUCCACGUGGCCAACUUGUAGCUACUCCACGUAUUCCUCCCUACGAAAUGAACAAACUGUCAGGCGCACACGGCCGGAACCAACGGGGGUGGCGGCCGUAUACACUCCGACGGUCAAGUCAGGUUUGGGUGGUCGGAACAGUGUCCAGGGACUACACAAAUCAAUCAGUCAAUAAAGGGAGAGGAGAAUAUAUAAACUUGUUAUGGAGUGCUAUCUAUUGAGAGUUUCAUUACCUUUGCCUCUGGCCAAUCUUUGGGUAUUUAUAGGUGGUAUGAACCGUGGGAUGUGGAACACGUGUAUACAUCUGACGGUAUGAAGCGUCUGCUCAUAGGCGUCAAUCAGCCGCGCUUGUAGAGUGGGCGGACAGUUUGUUUCCCCCGAGUUGAAUUGACAUAAAGUUGAUAAGUCACAUCAAAUAGCUUUAUGGGGGACGUCAAAUCAAUUUAAACCUUAUAUGCAGAACAAAUCUUAAAUUGGCAGCGAAUCUUCUAACGGGGGUUCAAGCCACUUGAACCCGACCUCGGAGACGGGACACUUCGGCAGAUCAGUGACAGGAAUCGGUGUUUCACUUUGGAGAGGCUUCGGGAGGUCGGAGUGGUCUGAGCGAGAUGACACUUCGGUACGUCGGUAUCGAAGCUCGUAAAAUGAGGCGAGAUGACACUUUGGUACGUCGGUACCGAGGCUCGUAAAAUGAGGCGUAACAGACAACUUUUAUGAAAAAUAAAGCCAAACAAACACCAAAAGACACUUUUAUUUCAAUAUUUUUCAGGUGAAAAAUUAUACAAAUCAAACACUAUUAAUUGACAAUUCCUAGUGAAACAAUUUUUAGACAAUUCAAUUAUCUGAAAUUUGUUAUCUUUCCACUCACAUUCCAUCUUUGCAAUUAAAUGGAUCUCAGUGAGCGUUUUGUGGAAGAGUGAGGAAGCACAAUUGCACGCUCCAUUAAUUUUAUAUCAGUCCAAUUUUUAAAAGCAACUUAACAUAAUAUUAUAUAAGCUAUUAGCAUAUUUUAUAAAUUAUGGGAUGACAAUCUGAGUUGUAAAAGUGCUCAAAGUCAAGUCGCGUUCUGAUUAGAUAAUUGUUUAAGUUAGCCUUCCACAUUUUGAAAGCGAAGAAAGAUAGAUAGUAGAUACAAUAUUGAUAACUCAAACUUUUGUCCCAUUCGGAAAUUUUAAUUAAAUUUUCAUAAUAUGUACUUAUUUGGCCGCGCUUAAAAGUUAAAUAUAUAUAUAUAUAUAUUAUAUCAGGGUAACUUAAUUUUGUCAAACAUGUUUUUAAAGUUAAUAUUUUUAUUACAAUUUGCUUUUCUUCGUAAAAAUAUAGUCUUGAAAAUUAUUCCCCAUUCCAUUUACGGGAAAAAAAUUAGAACAUUAAAAUUAAUCAUUUGCCAAACAGUCCCUUCGUAAUGCCAGCUGUCAAGUAGAGCCAGAUUAGCAUGGACCUGUCAUUAGCGGCAGAUCCAAACCUUUUUACGCCAGGCUAAAAUCUGCUACAUUCAAUCCAUCUACACUCGUUUUUACGACUUGUACAUUUAUUCCAAAUAAGUCUGUUCAUCAGAAUUUGUUCUUAAAAGUAUNCCGUUUUUGUUGUUGUCAUCCCACUUCGAUUUCCAUGUUGAAUCAGAAUUUGAAGUACCCAACGGUUGCCUAGACGUUCACUUCCUCUUCAAUUGCCUCUCGACCUUCAUUGCCACAUGUAACAUAUCCUCGAUUUUCACAUAGUGUUGCAACUCUACAACGUUUGUAAUAUCCCGAUUUAACCCAUUCAAGAUCCAUGCCAUGGUAGCUUCCCGAUCUUCCUCCACAUUAGCCUGAAUCAUAAGAAUUUCCAUCUCCUUGUGAUAAUCAUCUAUGCUUUUUGACCCUUGAUACAAACCUUGCAAUUUUUUAUGAAUUUCCCUAUAAUAGUGACUCGAAAUAAACCUCCCCCUCAUCAACAUCUUCAACUCAUCCCAAGUGCUAAUUGGCAUUUCCCGACACCUACACCGUAAUGUAAGUACUUGAUCCCACCAAGAUAUCGCGUAAUCCACAAAUUCAAGUACCGCCAAUUUUACCUUUUUCUCCUCCGAAUAAUUAUAGCACACAAAAAUCAUCUCAACCUUCUUUCCCCACUCUAAAUAUGCUUUCGUAUCGCUUCGCCCCUUAAAUUGUAGAAUAGUCAUUUUAAUACUCCCCAAAUUUCCAUCAACUUCAUCCCCCAAGUUAUUUUUACCCCGUCUGUCCAUCCUAUCGCCCCUAUGCCUCGCUAGACCCGUAUCAAUGUUAUUUUCAUCAAAAUCAUCCUCAUCACUACGAUAUUCAUCCCGCCUUCCUCUCCUAGAUUUACGCCUACUCAGCCCCCUAGCAUUAGACAUCUCUACUCGUCCCCAGCUAAGAUUAGCGAUUGUGGUACCUAUUUGCGCCACCCAUUCCCCUUGCCUAUCCACCUUCUCCCUAACACCACCAAGUACCAGUUCAAACCUGCGUAUCAUGUCCUCCGAUGCAUUGUUGUCAUUACCGUUUCGGCUUGAGUUAGAACCUUCUCUUUCCGACAUCAUGUCACACAAAUUUAUAUGCCUCACAAAUAUAUCACUCGAAAACACUCAAUAUGGUUUUUUCCCUCUAUUAAACUCACCACUCGGCCUCUUACCACUCAAAGUCUCCCUCCAAGCACUUCAAAGAAUCAAGUGAAUUAAAUCAAGUGUUUUACCAGAAAUUCAACAAACCGAAUAAUAACCAAGAACUUGAGACUCAAGGAAUUGAAUUAGGUGGAAUAGAUGAUUGUUUUGACAAGAAUAUGUGAAUAGACUCACUAGUAAAGUGAAAAAAUAGCACAAUGGAAUAGCCCAAAUCACACAAUUCGAGAGUUUUUGUUUUGUGUUGGUAGUAAAAACAAGAAAUAAUAAUAUCAAAUUUUUUUUGUGUACUGUACGGAUGAACAUUAACUGUACGAUGAACAGUACUUUUUUUUGGACCUUUUGUGAAGAAAUACGAUUAAGCUUCCAACAACUCAAUGAAUUGAAAUUGACGAUAAUUGAACGACACAAGAAUGACUCAAACGACGAAGAACACAAGAAUGACGAAGAAGAAAUAUAAAGACUUAACGACACGAGGAACGACAGUCGAAAUUGGGAAGAAUGAAGAAAACAAGAAAAUACUUAACAAGUAACGAAAAGAUAUAACCUUCAAUUAAUUUGGAGCCUGGCUCUGAUACCAACUGAUGUGAACACCGUAGCAACGUUGACUACGAAACCCACAACGAGAUUGAAGAACCCAAGAAAGCGAAAUUAAUCCAAGAAUCUACAAUUAAUUCAAAAGAAAGUCGAAAAAACCCAACAAGAACGACGCUUGAAAGACCCCUUGAUCACGCAAUAAGAAUUAAAUUCAAUUGUUUGAACGCCAUAAGUUAACACUUGAUAAGUUAGAAAUUGUUCAAUGAAGAACGAUGAAGAGAAGACAAUACGCCUCACUUUAAUUCAAUAUCAAAUAUGUCAAAAGUUGUUACAAUUGAAUGAAAACUUCUAUUUAUACUAAAUCUAAAAACUAGGUAAAAAUCGUGCAAAAAUCGAGCAUAAUUCUCAAAGUACGGAAAAGAAUAAAAAAACUAACAAAAUAUGAAAAAAUACCAAAAAUAGGAAAUUCGUCCAAAAAUUGGCCUAUGCGACCGCACCGUGCAAUUCCAUGAGGUCACAUGAUUCAAACAAGAUGCCUCCUUUGAGCUUCGGUAGACCACCGUACAAUCGCGGGCGUGUAUGCUUGUGCGACCGCACAGGCUUAAAAUUCCCCUCCAGUUUCGGCCUUCGAUAUUAAAUUGAUCCAAGUUGAUUCGGUCUUCAACCUGAAUAUGAAAGUUGCUCCAUUUUGAGUCCCGAACAUGGUGUUUUCAAUCGUUGCCUUGACGAGCAAUCCCAUCGCCUCGUUGAAUCGUCUCAUCUUCGAUCGCGUCAUCGGUCCACCAUCGACUAUCAACGGGUCUCGUCUCGCACUUGCCUUUGUCGGGCUCGACUCCUGGGUUAUAUCAAGUGGCGAGACAGUGGUCACAAGUGUUGAUGGUGGUCACAAAUUCUUUAGUUGAUCAUUACCAUUAAAUUGGUUAAUUCAUGACCGAUAAACAAUAUGUGGCCAAUGAAAAAGAUAAAUUGUGACUAAAAAAUUAUGUGUGACAUAAAAAAAAUUUACUUUAUGAUCAAUAAUUUGAUAAUUUAUGACUGUAUAAUACGUUGUGAUUAUAAUAUUUGUAAUUUAUGAGUAAUAAAUAAAUUAUGACAUGUACAAUUUUGAAUUGUGACCGUAAAAUAGUUUGUGAAAUAAAAAAAUUUUGAUUUAUGACUAAAAAAUAAUAUGUAACUAUCUAAAUCAAUAAUUUGUGAUCAAAUUGUAUGAUUCUGUAACUUUAAUAUAUUUAAUUAAUAAAAUAUAUAAUUAAUUAAUUAAUUCAUAAAUAAAUAAAUUUUAAUAAAUAUCUAAUUUUUGAAAUUUGAAACUUUUAUUUUUAGUUUUGAAAUAGGUGAUACUUAACAUCUUAAUUAUCAAUUUUUCCCUCUUUAUAAUAAUAUAAUAUAUUUUAUAUAUUAUCGAUUAAUUUAUUAUACAUAAUUUUUUUUUUUCAAACUUGUAUUAUACUUCAUGACUUUUAAUGAAGAAUGUCAAACAUAUCAAAUUGUAUAUAAAAAUAAUAUAUAUUAUAAUAAAUUUUAUAUUGAGAUUGAGAAUUUCCUCCUUCCAAUACUAAUUAAAAAAAAAAAUACGUGUAAAAUAUUUCGAAUCUGAUUGUUGGAUCGAUAUUCGAUAACAUAGCAAAUCAGAUAUGAAUUUAACAAUCAAAUACCCUUUGGAUUAUCAGAUCUGAUCCAUGAAUUAUUCUUAUCAAAUUGGAUCGAAUAUGGAUGAAUCCGUCCAUAUUCGAUCCAUUCACAGCCCUAUCAGUGAAGCACUAGUUUAAGUAAUUAUACUGUUUAAAUUCAAUAAAAUGGGUCACAUGACUUUACAUUUAAAUGAAUAUAUUAUUUAAUGUUAUGUAAUUAUUACCUAAACUGGUAUUCAAUGCAAGUGAUGAUGAAUAACAUUACUCUUUUCAUUAUCUUGUUAUUCGAGCUAUUCUCCAAAAUUCGAAGUUGAAAAUGCUUCUUCGCAUUAGUGGAGCGAGGAGUGGGCCUGGUCGAGUGACCUCCAAUUUCAUCCACCCCACCCUUUUUUUUAGUAAUAACAAACUAAAUACUGGAGUUUCAUUUCUCUCCCCCAAUGCUUUGAUUUUUUAUCACCGAAUUCUAAACUUACUUGCAUCGAGUUUUAAACGAAACCCAUUUAAUCAAAAAGCUAUAUUGUUCUAGAUACAAGGUUUUCUUGAAUUUCCUUGCUAGCAAAAUCAGUGAUAACUUUGUUCUUGAUUCAUCGGGAAACUAUACCUCCACAAUCACCAGAAAGCUUGCAAAGGAUUAAAUACACGUGCACGAGGCUAAUAUUUAGAAUUUGAAGUUAACUUUUAUCAUCAUCGAUAAGUUAAGUGUUAUACUAACUCACAUAUUUAUUAAACAAAUAUGGCAUAUUUGUAUUGAGAAGUUAAGUUUGAUUGUUAUCAUUCAACUGGCCUGCAAUUUGUUAUAACAUAAAAUUAAAGUUUUAACCUUUCAAUAUUUAACCCAUUUAAUUUUUUUUAAUAAUCAGUUUUAACACAAUUAAAAUAUCAUAAUUCAUAUUAUAAUUUCUAUUUUAAUGAUUUAAUUGUGGGAGUUGAUUUUCACCUAUAAAAGGUGGUUAUAUCUCAUUGAGAAAGAGAAUUGGAAUACAAUAACUUGGAAGGAAAACAUUCUAUACAAUUCAUACUAUAUUCUUAUACUUUUAGCAACUCGAUAAAAAUCAUUCAUUUAUUUCCCUAUGAUCGUGUCUAUAGAAGAAGAAUCGAUUGUGAGCCAUGUGAGUUUUAUUUUGGAGUCGUGUAGCGUCGAAAGAACCUACACAAAGGGGGAGGCAACACAACUUUAGAACAGCGUCUUCGACGUAACCUUCAAAACUUACUUUCUAAAUCUAUUCUCUCUUUUAUGUUUAUAUUAAUAUUGAUUUAUAUUUGUUAUGUUAUAUAAAUUGAUUAUAUUAAUUGAUAAAAAAAUGUACACACAAAUCACCCAUUUUUCCUAACAGUCUAAAAUCGUGUUGGAUGAUUUGCUUGUAGAUUACAUGUGGUGUGGUCACAAAUUUAAAAAGCGUUUUCUUGAUUUGAUGUAUGUGACUGAAUUAUAUAUAUUUGCUAAAUGAUUAGACUUAUUAUUUGAAUAAUAAUGAAUAUUACAUGCUCUCCAAACGCUUAUGAGUAACAUUCAUGUGAACUAGCUAGCUUAUCAAACAAAACCUCUCGUUCUAUUUCAUUUGCACAUAUGCUUGUAUGCUCCUUCCGCCCUGUAAUAAAGCACAAAGAGCAUGAAAUAUGGCUUUGAUUAAUAAUUAGAAUAAAAUUGCACUUCAGCGCAACCUAUAUUAUGUAGAAUUUGAAGUCCUUGUUUUGAUCUCGAAGUGAACAUAUUCACGCUUGGAGCCAAAAUAAUAUUAACGAGAUAGGUCCUCAUCAAAUGGUAUUAUUCUGAAGUUUCUCUCACAUAAUUUAAAGGACAAAUUUUAUGUCAAAAUUGCUCUUAUAACUUGAUGCUCAGGUGUUAGGAAUAAAAUAAUUUGGUAUAAGGAAAUAGUUACCAAUAUUUAACAAAACAACAACCAUAACAACAACAAUAACUGAACAUUGAAAACAUAUGAAAAAAUGAAAAUCAAAUAUCUUGCCUGAAACUAAUUAUAAAGAGCAGAAUAGCACACGAGUGUUUUAUAGUAGCUCGAGAGAUCUCAUGCCCAUGACCUUGAAUCUUCUUCUUCUUCCUUUUUUUUUUUUUUUUUCCUACAAUCUUUACUUUAGACAUCUAAAAUUCUAUGUCCUUGAUUUCUCUGUGUUUUUUUUAAUGUUCUAUAGUUGUAAGGACAUAGAAUUUAUCCUACAGAUUUAAAAAAUAAAAAGACAGUGUGAAACGAAGAAAUGUUCUUGCCUACGUAUAUAAAAAUACGUGCUAUUCCUCCUCCUAUUUGAUAGAAUUUAUAAUGAAAGUAACCCAAGUUUCAAGUCUCAGCAACUGAAUCAAUAAGAAUCCUAAUAUAUAUAUAUAUAUAUAUAUAUAUAUAUAUAUAUAUAUUUUUUUUUUUUUUUUUUUUUUUUUUUUUGAUAUCCAAGUAUCACAGCGUAUACCAGACUAAAUCCUGGACCUCCAAAAUCCAUGCCCCUAGAACUUUGGAGAGGGUAAAUCGUUGGUUAUACCUCAACUGGAUCACAGGUUCCUCUCAUUGACUGUACACUUCUGCGCACAAGAGACCCUCCUCCACAAUGAUUGCUCCAUACCAAAUUUUUGGCCGCAGGUUCCCACCAGGAAUCGAACUCUCCACCCUGUCGCUGGAAGCAAGCCAAUGUUGAUUGAUC
rnacentral:lncRNA from 1 species